ensembl:lncRNA
AUGUCGUACUGCUCGUUCCAGGCGCAGCUGGUGUCCUUCAUGGAGAGCGUGGCCAGAGCGGCGGAAGCGGAAAUCAGCCGGCGCGUGGACGAGAGCUGCGCGGUCAUCAGACUGGAGCUGAGCCGCAGCCGGAGGGACAUCGACGCCCUCAAGAGGAAGUGCGUGCUCAUGGACAGCGAGCUGAGGAGGGUCAGGGGACGGGGCAGGAGGAGAGUGUGGUUCAAGACCCAGCCUGUGAUCAGAGAUCCAGACCAGAAUCCAGAUCAGACCAGAUCAGACCAGUCUGUGUGUUCGCCGGAGGAGGAAACCGGAGCUCCUGUGAUUAAACAAGAGCGACAGGAACCGGAAACCAGCGGCGGAGCUGGAGGUACCAUCACAUCUGAUCCCAGACGAAUCAGACAAGUACUCGUUUUAAAAUCUGCUAAAGUGUGUCUCUCUGUUUUAACACACAGGGAGUCGUCCCUUCGAUCACGAGCAGCAGCACAUCCAGCAGAUCCGAGCUCAGGAGAACACGGAGAACCUGUUAGGAGCUUCAGAGAUCCCAAACACACACUGCACACGUUCAGAGACGGCCACGGAGCGUCUGAGCGGACGGGGACUCCAGGUUAA